rnacentral:rRNA from 1 species
GACGAACGCUGGCGGCGUGCUUAACACAUGCAAGUCGAACGAAGUGGCGAACGGGUGAGUAACGCGUAAUCAACCUGCCCUUCAGAGGGGGACAACAGUUGGAAACGACUGCUAAUACCGCAUACUGAAGGAGGGGCUUGCGUCUGAUGCGCUAGUUGGCGGGGUAACGGCCCACCAAGGCGAAGAUCAGUAGCCGGGCCGAGAGGGUGAACGGACACAUGGGGACUGAGACACGGCCCAGACUCCUACGGGAGGGAGCAGUGGGGAAACUUCCGCAAUGGACGGAAGGCUGACGGAGCAACGCCGCGGGAGGGAUGACGGCCUUCGGGUUGGAAAGCUCUGUUAGUCGGGACGCGGUACCGGAAUAGAAAGCCACGGCUAACUACGUGCCAACAGCCGCGGUAAUUC